AAGUCGAAAUCGGGCAAGUCUCAGGGAAAAAAAACGCCCAGGCAAAACGAGAACUGCCCACAACCCUUGGGCAAAAUGUCAUAUUUCGGAUUUUGACCGGACAAACCUAGUUAUGAGUGACCUAGCUAAAUAUAUCAGUCUUCAAAUUUAACGAUUUUAAGAUACGCACGUAUUUUCUACAUUUUGAAUUCUCUGGGUAAUCGAUAUUCAUGUGAUACAUAGAAAAAUUACGCUGUUUUAAAACGGAUAACACUCAAGACCAAUGUAUAUCAUAUUGCAAUCCAUACAUUAUUAAUUCAUACAGAAUAAGGUAACAGAAUAAAAAAAGGUAGUAAGUACCCAUUUUGUUUCAAAUUAAUAAGUAAGACCUAGAAAUUACUGGACCAGACUGAUACAAAUACGUCUUGAAAACACGAUUUUGUUUGAUAAAAAUAUGUCUUACAUUUUGUUAUUUUAAAAUACUAGUCAACACUCCAUACAUUAA